rnacentral:rRNA from 1 species
UACGUAGGGUGCAAGCGUUGUCCGGAAUUAUUGGGCGUAAAGAGCUUGUAGGCGGUUUGUUGCGUCUGCUGUGAAAUCCCGAGGCUCAACCUCGGGUCUGCAGUCGAUACGAGCAGACUAGAGUGUUGCAGGGGAGACUGGAAUUCCUGGUGUAGCGGUGAAAUGCGCAGAUAUCAGGAGGAACACCGGUGGCGAAGGCGGGUCUCUGGGCAACAACUGACGCUGAGGAGCGAAAGCGUGGGGAGCGAACAGG